AGAGUUUGAUUCUGGCUCAGGAUGAACGCUGGCGGCGUGCCUAACACAUGCAAGUCGAACGAAGUGCUAUUAAUGAAACUUCGGUGGAUUUAAAAGUAUCUUAGUGGCGGACGGGUGAGUAACGCGUGGGUAACCUGCCUUAUACAGGGGGAUAACAGUCAGAAAUGACUGCUAAUACCGCAUAAGCGCACAGAGCUGCAUGGCUCAGUGUGAAAAGCCGAGACGGUAUAAGAUGGACCCGCGUCUGAUUAGCUGGUUGGUAAGGUAACGGCUUACCAAGGCGACGAUCAGUAGCCGGCCUGAGAGGGUGACCGGCCACAUUGGGACUGAGACACGGCCCAA
rnacentral:rRNA from 1 species